rnacentral:rRNA from 1 species
UACGAAGGGGGCUAGCGUUGUUCGGAAUCACUGGGCGUAAAGCGCACGUAGGCGGAUCUUUAAGUCAGGGGUGAAAUCCCGAGGCUCAACCUCGGAACUGCCUUUGAUACUGGGGAUCUCGAGUCCGGGAGAGGUGAGUGGAACUGCGAGUGUAGAGGUGAAAUUCGUAGAUAUUCGCAAGAACACCAGUGGCGAAGGCGGCUCACUGGCCCGGAACUGACGCUGAGGUGCGAAAGCGUGGGGAGUAAACAGG